GGUUGCAUAGUGUAGCAGUUAGCAUGUCUGCUUUACAAGUAGAAGGUCCUGGGUUCAUGCCCCAGUGGAGCCA
rnacentral:tRNA from 1 species